rnacentral:rRNA from 1 species
UAAAGAUUCAUCGCUGAUAGAUAGGCAUGCGUUCCAUUAGGCAGUUGGCGGGGUAACGGCCCACCAAACCGACGAUGGAUAGGGGUUCUGAGAGGAAGGUCCCCCACAUUGGUACUGAGACACGGACCAAACUCCUACGGGAGGCAGCAGUGAGGAAUAUUGGUCAAUGGGCGUAAGCCUGAACCAGCCAAGUCGCGUGAGGGAUGAAGGUUCUAUGGAUCGUAAACCUCUUUUAUAAGGGAAUAAAGUGCGGGACGUGUCCCGUUUUGUAUGUACCUUAUGAAUAAGGAUCGGCUAACUCCGUGCCAGCAGCCGCGGUAAUACGGAGGAUCCGAGCGUUAUCCGGAUUUAUUGGGUUUAAAGGGUGCGUAGGCGGCCUUUUAAGUCAGCGGUGAAAGUCUGUGGCUCAACCAUAGAAUUGCCGUUGAAACUGGGGGGCUUGAGUAUGUUUGAGGCAGGCGGAAUGCGUGGUGUAGCGGUGAAAUGCUUAGAUAUCACGCAGAACCCCGAUUGCGAAGGCAGCCUGCCAAGCCAUGACUGACGCUGAUGCACGAAAGCGUGGGGAUCAAACAGGAUUAGAUACCCUGGUAGUCCACGCAGUAAACGAUGAUCACUAGCUGUUUGCGAUACACAGUAA